rnacentral:rRNA from 1 species
CAUCGCCUCUUGUCCCCAAAAUAUAAGAGGUCCCGCCUGCCCUGUGACUAUAUGUUUAACGGCCGCGGUAUCUUAACCGUGCGAAGGUAGCGUAAUCACUUGUCUUUUAAAUGAAGACCUGUAUGAAUGGCAUCACGAGGGCUUAACUGUCUCCCCUCUCCAGUCAAUGAAAUUGACCUCCCCGUGCAGAGGCGGGGAUAUUUAUAUAAGACGAGAAGACCCUGUGGAGCUUUAGACCUAAAGUAAACCACGUUUAAUGUACUAGAAUUAAUAGCAAAAACUUAGUGGACAUUUAUUUAAGUGUCUUUGGUUGGGGCGACCGCGGAGUAAAACAUAACCUCCAUGUGGACGGGGAUACUUUCCCUAAAACUCAGAGCCUCCACUCCAAGCAACAGAAAUUCUGACCUUACUGAUCCGGUACAACCGAUUAACGAACCCAGUUACCCCAGGGAUAACAGCGCAAUCCCCUCUCAGAGCUCAUAUCGACGAGGGGGUUUACGACCUCGAUGUUGGAUCAGGACAUCCUAGUGGUGCAGCCGCUAUUGAGGGUUCGUUUGUUCAACGAUUAAAGUCCUACGUGA